AUGGCGCCGCCGCGCCGCCGCUCGCGCCCAUCACCUUGCCAUCCUCCCUUCCACCCCUACAACCUGAGGGCUAGGCCUGAUAGGAUCCCAACUCUUAUCAGUGGCAUCCUUGGUCACAUCAAGAAGUGUGGAGACGUGGUUCACGGGGAAGAUGAGAUCAAAUACGGAUCAUGGAUGGUGGCAGAAAGAAGAACUGUGUCGGGAACCCAAAGUUUUGGGCGAGGCAAAUUUUCCCAGGCUGGUAGGGCUCUUGUGAGAGGGACAAGAGGACACAACCGGGGUAGGGCGCGAGGUAAUGCUUCCGUGCCCUGCAAGCAUACAUCUAGCGACGGUGGAAUGCACGAGGAUGGCGAUGAUCUGAAUGACAUACCUGAGUGCCCUUCGAAAAAUACUGUGGAGAAAGAACAUGACCGUGCGAAAGAAAAGGAUGUUGUGUCAACAAAGAAGAAACUGGAUAUGGACGUCGAGUCCAACCAAGAUCAAGGAGCUCUAGCUUGUUGA
rnacentral:rRNA from 1 species